CGGGGCGUGGUGUAAUGGUAGCACGCGUGCUUUGGGAGCACGUAGCCCGAGUUCGAAUCUCGGCGCCCCGACCA
rnacentral:tRNA from 2 species